rnacentral:rRNA from 1 species
AACGCUGGCGGCGUGCUUAAUACAUGCAAGUCGAGCGAGCUACUUCGGUAGCGAGCGGCGCACGGGUGAGUAACGCGUAGAUGAUCUACCCUCGAGACUGAGAUACCUCCGGGAAACUGGAGUUAAUACCAGAUAACGCACAUUGGUUGGUUCUGAUGUGUUAAAGCGGUGCAAGUCGCACUUGAGGAUGAGUCUGCGGCCUAUCAGCUAGUUGGUGGGUAACGGCCUACCAAGGCGAAGACGGGUAGCUGAUCUGAGAGGAUGAUCAGCCACAUUGGGACUGAGACACGGCCCAAACUCCUACGGGAGGCAGCAGUAGGGAAUAUUGCGCAAGUGGGGGAACCCUGACGCAGCGACGCCGCGUGAGUGAAUGACGGCCUUUUUUGGUUGUAAAGCUCUGUAAAGAGGGAAAAAUGUUGCAGUGAAGAGCUGCAAUUGAUGGUACCUCUAAAGUAAGGACCGGCUAAAUACGUGCCAGCAGCUGC